CCCAGGAACACACACAGGUAUUGCCUGAUGUGCGGCUACUGCCUCGGAGACUGCCCCUGGCCUUCCGGGACGCGACCUCGGCCCCCCUGCGCAAGCUCUCAGUGGACCUCAUCAAGACCUACAAGCACAUCAAUGAGGUAUACUAUGCGAAGAAGAAACGGCGGGCCCAACAGGCACCACCCCAGGACUCGAGCACCAAAAAGGAGAAGAAGGUCCU